CAAUAAAAUUACCAGGUCUGCCGCUACUCGCUACCCGCGACCUUCCGUCGUUCGUAACCGCUUCAAACGUUUACCGUUGGGGACCGUCGUUGAUCCAAGAACAAAUGGACAUCCUCGCUGAUGAAUCCAACCCCAAAAUCCUUGUUAACACCUUCGAUGCUUUGGAACAAGAAGCAUUAAACGCCAUUGAAAAUUUCAACAUGAUCGGCAUCGGACCUUUAAUCCCAUCUUCUUUCUUGAACUCAAGUGACUCCUUGGAUAAUUCCUUGAGAACCGAUCUUUUUCAACCCGAUUCAAAAGAUUACCUCCAAUGGUUAGACUCCAAACCAAAAUCGGCCGUCGUUUACGUUUCCUUCGGGAGCAUUACGGUGUUAACGAAGCAACAAGUGGAGGAAAUCGCUCGAGCUUUAAUAUCCAGCCGGCGACCUUUUUUAUGGGUGGUGAGGAACCGGAAAGAUGGAGGCGAAGAAGAGAAAGAAGAAGAUAAACUGACUUGCAGGGAAGAAUUGGAACAGUAUGGGAGGGUGGUUCCAUGGUGUUCGCAAGUGGAAGUAUUGUCUCAUCCGUCGUUGGGUUGCUUCGUGACGCAUUGUGGGUGGAACUCGACGUUGGAGAGCAUGGUGGCCGGUGUACCGGUGGUGGCUUUCCCUCAAUGGACGGAUCAAGGGACUAAUGCGAAGCUGAUUGAAGAUGUGUGGGGGAAUGGGGUGAGAGUGAGUGCUAAUGAAGAAGGGAUGGUGGAACGUGAUGAGAUCGUUAGGUGCUUGGAUUUGGUGAUGGGGGAUGAUGAGAAAGGGAUGGAAGUGAAGAAAAACGUAGAGAAAUGGAAAGGGUUAGCCAGGGAAGCCUCCAUGGAAGGCGGCUCCAUGGAUAUGAAGCUUAAAGCUUUUGUGGAUGAUGUUGCUCAAGGUGGUUGUAAGUAAAUUUAUCAUUUUCAAAUAAAUUCACUGUUAUAAUAGCAGCUAUAAAGAUUGUAACUUCUUUAAUUUCUAAGUUUAUUUCUUUUUUUUUUUCCAUAUCUUUUAAAAAAUAUAUGUAAGAUUGAAAGGCCCAAACAAAAACUCCUGUUUUAAGGACCCAAGAAGAGCUGGUCUGUUUAGGCUGUGCUAUUUAUUACUUUUUAGAUGAGUUUUUGCAUGUAAAAGUAUUUUUUUUGAAAAAUAAUAAAGAAUAGACAUCAUUUCAGAAAUAUUUUUAACUUAAAAAAAUACUUUUUGGCAGAUGGAGAAAUUAAAAAUUUUAACUUUUCCGUCUGCCAAAAGUGCUUUUGACUUCUAUUUACAUUUUUAACCUUUUUCUUCUCCCAAAAUUUUUAGUAUUUAUAUUUGGUAUAUAAAUGUUAUCCAUUUUUAAAUCUUUAAUCUAAAUAUAUGUAAUAUUUUAAUUUGUUAGGUUUAUAUUUUCUAUGUUACGUUAAUAUCUAAUAAGAGUUAUAUAUUAAAAUACAUUUUAAAAUAAAAUAAUACAAAUGUGUUAAAAGCAUUAAUUAAAAAUAAAAAAUAAAUUUUAAAAUAAUACAAUUGUGUCAGUAUCUAAUUACAAAUAUUUAAUUAUUAUAUUUAAAUAUAGUUUAUAUAUUCUAAUUAAAUUUAAUAAAUAAUUAAUAUUAAUUACUUAGAAAAAUUUAAAAAUAAUAUUAUAUAUUAAAAUAUUAACAAUAAGUUAUAAUAAAUUAUUUUUAUAAUUUUGCUAAAAUAUCAUAAUAUUAACUAAUUUGAACAUUAUUUAAAUACAUAUUUGUUACUUUAUAAUAUCAUGUCUAAAAUGGACAUUUUAUUUCUCAAAAGCACUUUUUGACAGCAAUAUCAAACACUCAAAUUUUUCGAAAGCAUUUUUUAAAAGUACUUUUCCACAACACUUUUCAAAAAUACUUUUCAAAAGCAAUGAAGAACUGACCCUUAGUCUUUGUGCCCCAUCUAUCCAUCUCAAUCUCAAUCAAUGCUUUCCUUUCUUGCCUCAAGCACUCACUCGUUUCAUGACCUAUCCUAGUCUUCCCUUUCUUAACUUCAUGAUCUCAAAAAAAAAAAAAAACCCCAAAGUUUGAAUUCCGUCUAUGAACUUCCUAAGCAGAAUCAGGAUAUUUGAUUAAACAUGGAUGCUUCCAUUAUCAUAUGGAUUAAGGGUGCCAGUCAGUCUUAUUACGCCCCUAAUCCAACUUUCACCAUUCGAUAUAUGAUUAUAACCUAUACAACAACAGUCAAAUGUGUUGUUGUCGUACCUCUGUCCCUUCAAAAUUAUCUUUACUGUUGCUAUUCAUGUCUUCAUUUGAAUUGAUUUGUUUAUGGUUAUAUAUUGCCGAAUUUGAUUUGUAUAUGGAUAUACAUUGCUGAAUUAAUUUAUAUAUUGUUAUACAUUACCAAAUUUGAUUUGUAUAUAGAUAUACAUUGACAAAUUUGAUUCGUAUAUGGAUAUAUAUCGCCGAAUUGAUUUGAGCUUUGGAUUACUAGUUUUGUGCAUGAAUUGAUUUAAUUACGAAGUCGAAAGCUCCGAAUGAACCUUAGUAAAUGUAUUGGAUAUUGAUGUCAUGAUAUUAGGACUUUCAGGGUGUAAUUUCGCGUAAGACCAUGUCUGGGAUAUUGGCAUCGAAGUAAGAAAACGUGUAAGACCAUGUCUGGGACAGUGGAAUUGAUAUGUGUUAACAUAUAAGACCAUAUCCGAGAUAUUGUAUUGUACGAGUUUUAUAUGAUUUUCGUAUGAUCUUAACUAUUUCGAAUGUGAAUUUGAGUUGAAUGGUUCAGGUAUGUGUGAAGUUAUAUGUUCAUGCAAUAUUAAGGUAAGUUUAGCACUUAAUGUGAUAAUAUGCAAUUAUAUGAGUUAGUUAAAUGUUUAUGUGUUUGAGAUUUAUUUGAAUUCAACCUAGUUGAAUUGAAUUAUAAAUAUCAUUGAGAUGAUUGAGUAAGAGGUUAGUACGAGAUGAUACAGGUACAUACAGAACCUAUUCGAGUAUUUAAUAGAGAAAGAUAAUGAAAUGGUAUUUGAUCAUGUUUUAAGACAUUGAGAAAGGUUUGUUGUAAUUGUAUAUAUGGUGAUGUUAUGUACAAUUAGUUGAAUUGUAUGUAUUUGAUGUAUUGAAUUAUUCAUUUACGAACUUACUAAGCUAUGAAGCUUACUUCGUGUUAUUUUCUUAUGUUUUAUAGAGAAUCAAGGCUAGCUCGGAUCCAAAAGUCGUCGGGAACAUCAUCGCGCUAUCGAACAUCUAAGUUGGUACUUUUGAAUUGUAUAUAUAUGAUAUAUGAGAUGUAUAGGCUAGUGUCAUUUUGGUAUGUUUUGAGUUAUGAUAUUAGCCAUGAGAUUUGGCUUUUAAAGGUUGGUGUGUAUUUGGCCAUAUGAAUUGGUUGUUUAAGUGUUGAGAAAAUGCAUAUUUGAACCUAAGAUGAAUUGAUGGUUAUAGUAAGUUAAAUUGACAUAUUUUUGAGUUAAUUUGGUACUAAAAUUGAAAUGAAAUGAACGAAGUUUAUUAGUUAACUUUUAUAUAGUAUUAUGAAUGUUGUUGAUCAAUUUGAUAAGUAAAUGUUUUAGGCAUGAUUUAAAUAUGUUUAAAUGUGAAAAUGUGUUGGUUUCCAUAUUGAUUGUAAAUUGGUUGCAGUUGAAAUUGCAGGGAAUGUUAGAUAUUUAUAAAGAAGUUAUAUUGAGUUCGCAAAAAGAAAAAUUCUCCGAGUUUCCGAAUUAGUCCCGAAUCAUUCUUAACUCGUAUUAUGGACCUUGAGGGUUUAUCUAAGGGACUUUAAGAUUAUUUUAUAUUAUAUUUGAUAAUUAUUUGUAUAUUAAUUGUAAAUUGUCCGAUAGGUCUAGUAAUGCUCCAUAAUCCUAUUCCGGUGACGAACAUGGGUUAGGGGUGUUAUAAUAAGCAAUUUUUGGUGAAAGUUAUAGUGAAAGUUAUCAUAUUGAUGGUUAGGUGUGAUUGACCAUAGAGUUAUAAUUAUUAUAGUACAAAGAAAAGUUAACUGAGUUGAUUAGGGUGUGAGGUGAAUAAAUUAACUCUUCGAAAUUUUAAUAGCAGGAACGGAAGAAUAUUUAAAAAAAAAUUAAUUUGUUAUUUGAUUUAACAUAUAGAGACUGAUUUAUCUAUUUUUUAGUAUAGCUAGAGGAUAAAAUGCAAUCUGACAUCUAAUACAAUGACCUCAAUAAUACUUUUACCUACAGUUGCUAAAUUUAUAACUAUAAUCGUAAAUUUUCAGUUUUGGUUCUUCUAUUAUGGUUACGUUUAAGAUUUAAUUUUUUAAAGUAAGAUUUAAUCUUUAUAAUUAAAUUUGGCAUAAUUUGAUUGUCUAUUUUUACAAUGAUAUUAGGUAGUCGAAAUAAUUAACAUAUUUUUUAACUAUUCUAAUUAAGUUUUUAAUUUUUUUAAAAAUACUAUUCUAUAAAAAAAUUACUUUUACAUAAUGAAUCAGAAUAAAUGUUAUUAAAAAUAUUCACAUCUACUACAAAAAAUAUUAAGGGUGCUAAUUAUUUGAGUUAACUAAUGAUACGACCUUUUUUUCCCGACAUUAUAAGAUAAUGAUAAAAUUAUAGUUUUUAUAUCUCUAUUAUGCUCACAUUUGAGAUUUAAUAUUUAUAUUUUAAAUUAACAUCGUUUGAUCCUCUACUUUUAUAAUGAUAUUAGUUAUCCUAAAUAAUUAAUAUUUUUAACUAUAUCGAUUAAAAUGAUUACAUGAAUUUCUCUUAAAAACACCUUUCAAUACAAUAUAUAUAUUUCUACAUGAAGUUCGAAUGGGUAUUUUUAAGGAAAAUAUUGAUCUCGACAUUUUGACCACGAUAAUUAAAGGUAUCAACUAUUUCAACUAACUAAUAGUAUUAUGUAGAGGGACCAAAUUAUAUAAAAUUAAAGAAUAGAUAUUAAAUUCUAUAUUUAAACAUAGUAGAGAGACCAUAACCAUAAUUUAAUCUAAAACAAAUUAUCUCUAACAUAAUAUAAAUAUAUUAACUAUAAAAAAUUUAAAUUUUAUUCUACCCCUAAAAAAUUAUUCUGACUUUACCUUACCUGCUACAAUUUUUAGACCUUACAUAAGAUUGUUUUCUUAAAUAGUGCAUAUUAUAAUAUAUAUUUGGUUUUGCAAUUGUUUUUAACUUCGGCUUUUAAUUUGUCACAAAUAAAAUUUUUGACUUUAUUAAUAAUAAUAAUAAUAAUAAUGGAUAAUUUAAAAUAAAAUAUAUUUAUAUUUUAAUUUAUUGUAUUGGAAUUAAUGAGAGAAAAUUUAUGGUCCUUAUAGCGCAAGAAUGUGUGUGACAACGUGUUGAAUGUUUAUCCACACAAAAUCCAAAAGGAUUCAAGGAUCUUCAACUUCGUCAGUGCCUCUCAUCACUUCUAAAAACACUUUGCUUUCCUUUCUUACUUACUCCAAAUCCGACGUUCGUAGAAAAAGACCAAGUUAACUACCUACGUGCCGCCGUCACCAUCAUGUCACAGCCUCAUUUCCUCCUGGUGACCUACCCUGCACAAGGCCACAUAAACCCAACCUUACAAUUUGCCAGGCAUCUUAUACGUAUUGGCGUACGUGUAACUUUCAUCACCUGCAUCUCCGCUCGCCGCCGCAUGACCAAAGUCCCCACUGCUCAAGGCCUAACGUUUUUACCCUUUUCCGAUGGCUACGACGACGGUUUUCAACCCGGCGAUGACGUGGACCAUUACCGAUCUGAAUUUACGCGACGAGGCAAAGAAGCCAUCUCCGAGUUUAUAACAAGCGGUGAAAACGAAGGCAAACCCGUCACUUGCAUUGUCUACACCCUGUUCAUCCAUUGGGCCACGGAGGUGGCGCGUAAACAUCACAUCCCGACAGCUUUACUUUGGAUUCAACCCGCCUCCGUUUUUGACAUCUAUUAUUUUUACUUCAACGGAUACGAAUCCACCAUUAAAGCUCAAGCUGAAGAAACAAACCCCGAGCGUUCAAUCAAAUUACCAGGUCUGCUGCUACUCGCCACCCGCGACCUUCCGUCUUUCUUCACCGCUUCAAACGUUUACCGUUGGGCACUGUCGUUGUUCCAAGAACACAUGGACGUCCUCGCCGAUGAAUCCAACCCUAAAAUCCUUGUUAACACCUUCGAUGCUUUGGAACACGAAGCAUUAAACGCCAUUGAAAAUUUCAACAUGGUCGGCAUCGGACCUUUAAUCCCAUCUUCUUUCUUGAACUCAAGUGACUCCUUGGAUAAUUCCUUGAGAACCGAUCUUUUUCAACCCGAUUCAAAAGAUUACCUCCAAUGGUUAGACUCCAAACCAAAAUCGGCCGUCGUUUACGUUUCCUUCGGGAGCAUUACGGUGUUAACGAAGCAACAAGUGGAGGAAAUCGCUCGAGCUUUAAUAUCCAGCCGGCGACCUUUUUUAUGGGUGGUGAGGAACCGGAAAGAUGGAGGCGAAGAAGAGAAAGAAGAAGAUAAACUGACUUGCAGGGAAGAAUUGGAACAGUUUGGGAGGGUGGUUCCAUGGUGUUCGCAAGUGGAAGUAUUGUCUCAUCCGUCGUUGGGUUGCUUCGUGACGCAUUGUGGGUGGAACUCGACGUUGGAGAGCAUGGUGGCCGGUGUACCAGUGGUGGCUUUCCCUCAAUGGUCGGAUCAAGGGACUACUGCGAAGCUGAUUGAAGAUGUGUGGGGGAAUGGGGUGAGAGUGAGUGCUAAUGAAGAAGGGAUGGUGGAACGUGAUGAGAUCGUUAGGUGCUUGGAUUUGGUGAUGGGGGAUGAUGAGAAAGGGAUGGAAGUGAAGAAAAAUGUAGAGAAAUGGAAAGGGUUAGCCAGGGAAGCCUCCAUGGAAGGCGGCUCCAUGGAUAUGAACCUUAAAGCUUUUGUGGAUGAUGUUGCUCAAGGUGGUUGCAAGUAAAUUUAUCAUUUUCAAAUCAAUUCACUGUUAUAAUAGCAGCUAUAAAUAUUGUAACUUCUUUAAUUUCUAAGUUUAUUUCUUUUUCUUUUCCAUCAUCUUUUGUAAAAAAAAAAAUGUAAGAUUGAAAAGCCGAAACAAAAACUCCUCUUUUAAGGACCCAAGAGGAGCUGGUCUGUGUAGUCUUUGAGCCCCACCUGUCAAUCUCAAUCUCAAUCAAUGCUUUCCUUUCUUGCCUCAAGCACUCACUCGUUUCAUGUCCCAUCCUCGUUUUCCCUUCAUUAAUAUCACUCCACCUUCUAACUUAAUAAUUGAUACAUGAUCUCAAAAAAAAAAGAAAAAAAAAAAACCCAAAGUUUGAAUUCGGUCUAUGAGCUUCCUAAACAAAAUCAGGAUAUGUGAUUAAGCAUGGAUGCUUCCAUUAUCAUAUGGAUUAAGGGUGCCAGUCGGGCUUAUUACGCCCCUCAUCCAACUUUCACCAUUCGAUAUAUGAUUAUAACCUAACCAACAACAGUCAAAUGUGUUGUUGUCGUACCUCUAUCCCUUCAAAAAUCUCUUUACUGUUGCUACCCAUGUCUUCUUUGAUAUAUAUGCAUAUUUUUAACCUUACUGAGCUGUGGACUUCAUUUGACGUGUAACCAAGUUUUUGCUUUCUUUUCUUUCUUCUUCUUAUGUUUCCUGAAUUUAUAAAUUUUUUUCCAUUGGCUUCUAUUUAUGUUUUUUCAAAGAUUAAUAAUUGAAUUUAAUUAAAAAUAAUUAAAUUGGUAAAAUAUAUAAAUGUUGAGGACAAAAUUCAGUAUUAUCCCUUUUAAUACCUUUCAUCGUACUAGAUCAGGUAUUAUCGUACCAUGAAACUUGAAUAAGGGUGGGUUUGGAUGGGCGAUUGGGUGCGGUGCGGUGCGUUUAGCCUACUUUUUGUCUCACACUACAGUAUUGCUACAGUGGUAAACGCACCGCCCAUCCAAACUCACCCUAAGCCACCACACAAGUUUAUGCGCAUGUGGUUUUUUCUGGUUUAAUUCUGCUUCUAGUCCUUAUACUUUUUGAAAGUGAUGGAUUUAGUCCCAAUACUUCAAUUUGAUCACUUUUAGUCCUGAACUUUUCAAAAUGUUCAAUUUUAGUCCCUAUAUUUUUAGUCUUUUGAAAUUUUUGUCCUAAACCAAAUAAUAGUAGUUAAAUUUGUUUGUUUAAAUUCAAUUACUAGCAUGUAAUUGUAGAUUUAAUAUAUAUUAUCCAUUUUCUUUGCAAAGUCUGUGAAAAACAAAAAGGAUUGUUGAGAACAAUCCAAACACUAUCAAACACAGUUUAAAAAAAAAUAAAACAGAACAGCCUAACAAAUACUACUAAGCAGACAAAAACACUUUAACAACAGAUUUCCCCGUUGUAUUCUGCUGCAGAAAAUAGCAGACCAUCCCAGCAUCAUCCAUUCUGCUUCAGCAGCAAAUCACCAAGCAGCUUUAAAGAAGUUUUUCCUUGACAUGCCUGCCUUUGCUAAAGUUUCCGCCAUUCCACUCUUUUUUUGAUUAGUGAUUGCAAACUGGAUUUCGGCAAUAUGUCUACAUUCAUCUUCAAUUUCCGCAAACAACUUCCUUAGCGACCAUUGACGAAGAUUCCUAUAUUUCAACUAAUUCAAUACCGUAUUCAAAUCAAGCUCUAUAAUCAAAGGAAGUUGCACCUUAUGAAACAAAUUUGAAAACAUCUCUAUUGCUACUUUUAUAGCCAUCAGUACUACCAUUUCCAAACCCUCCACUGCACAGUUACCUGAAAAAGAGCUGAAACAACCCCUUUCUCGUCCCGCAACACCCCUCCGCAGCCCGCUCUUUCAUCCAAAGAAACCCCAGCCACAUUAAAUUUCAUCCAACCGCAAGGAGGUGGUUCCCUAUCCAUAACCCGCACAUUCCCCACCCUUUUUAACCGGACUGCUCUUCCUUGGCCACCCCCACCAAUCACUCUCUGUGAAAAUACAUUCCUCAUAGACCACUCUUGCCCAUACAAACGAUCUCAAUUUUGUUUGGUAAAUUAACAAGUCAAGUGUUGUAGCCUUACCUUCAAACACUUUCUCAUUACGAGAAAUCCAUCCUGACCAACAUGCUGCUGAUACUGCCAGUAACCAUAGACUUUUUUGAAUGCCAGACAAAGACACUCUCCAGCACAAGGAAAAGAAUUCCUCAAAGUUUGCUACGACGUCCUUCCAUCUCAACCCCCACCAGCAAAAUAUACACGACCAGAAUCUUUUCACAAAGGAGCAUUCAAAAAAAAGUGAUUGGUAGAUUCCGCCACUCUCUCGCACCAUGGACACCCACUAUCCGAAGAGUCGAUAAUAAUUCCUCUACUAAUAAAAAAUUCUUUCGUUGGAACACGAUUAAUCGCCAUCAUCUAUAAGAAGCUACGCUUUCUUGGUGGGACUUUCAAUUUCCAGAUUCUAUCAAACUGAAAUUCUACCGUUCCCAUCCCAUCACACAUUCACGACAUUAGUUGCACGCCCAGCUACAAACGAACCUGGCUCGGAUAGCAAAAAUGUAGGGAAAAAAUAGUCACAGAAGACUAUAGUCAAACAACGUGUAUGCAAGGAAAAUACUAAACUAGAAAAUUUAAAAAGAAAGAAAAGCUGAACUCAAAAUGACUGAAGUUGCUGUAUUAUUCACACACAAAAUGAAAUAAACGUAGGCCUAUAAAUAGCCUUUACACCAUAACAAACUAACGUAAAAAUGUGCAACACUAUUGCACGAUCAUAACAAAAAAUAGAGAAAUAAGGAAAAUAACAAACUAAGCAUAGCACAGCAAAUCUAAAUUUAGAAAAACUGACUUUGAAUCAUUCUCCAACAUCGAAAAUGGUGGAGGGUUGAAUCCAGAGUAAAGUUGACGGGAUGUGAUGUUUACGCGCCACCUCCGUAGCCCAAUGAAGGAGCAAAUAGUAGACAAUGCAAGUGAUGGGUUUACCUUCGUUUUCACUACUUGUUAUAAACUCAGAGAUGGCAUCUCUGCCUCGUCUCUUGAAUUCAGACAUGUAAUUGUCUGUGUCAUUGCCGGGUUUAAUUUCGUCGUCAUAGCUAUCCGAAAAAGGUAAAAACGAUAGGCCUUCAGCAGUGGGGGACUUUGGUCAUGCGACUGCUGGCGGAGAUGCUGGUGAUGAAAGUUACACGUACGUCGAUAGGUACAAGAUGCUUGGCGAAUUGUAAGGUCGGGUUUAUGUGGCCUUGUGCAGGAUAGGUCACUACGAUGAAAUGAGGCUGUGGCAUGAUGGUGACGGCGGCGCGUGUUGGCGCGUAAUUCGUGAAGGAAAUUAAUGGGUUUUUAUAGUGAAGAGAGGCAUUGAUAGAAGGUGACGUUUGAGCUGACGAAUUUCAAAGAUUCCUAAACCUUGUUGGACUUAUCUAGUGUUUUUUCAAUGCUUAGGUUGCAGCUUGAUGCAUGAUGCUGUUAGAGACAGUUUCAUACUACACGACUCUUGGGGGUUUGAAUUUAAUUCACGAAUUAUAAUUUAGGUUAAACUAAACCCCAACACUAAACUAGUCAGUUUAUAUUUGGUUAAACUACCUACCAAGUUAUCCAUCUAUGCCUAAACUUUCAAAAUGGUCAUUCAACUAAUUGGGUUUCAGUUUUUUAUCCAUUUCCCUUAAGCAUAGAUAAAUGCCUUACCUUUGCAUACUUGGUAGGGUUAAUUUUUAAAAAUUAUGACUAAAUUGAUACAAUAUGUAAAAUUUGAGGAAAAAAAUUGUUAUUAUCCUAAUAUUUAAACAGUCACUUCAACUUUCUAUCAAACACUUAAUGGAAAUGGACCAAAAAAAUAAAUCAGAAUAGUUAGGUGACCAUUUUGAAAGUUUUAAAAGUUGAGUGAUAAAAAAAAAAAACUUAAACAUGUUUAAUAGUAUUAAUGUGUCGAACAAUUAAAGUAUCCACUUGUCAUUGUUUUCUUGAAUAUUGUGUAUAUCAUAUAUAAUAAAGGAUUGUAUAACGCUAGCUGUCAUUUUACAUCAUACCUUUUCUUCUCCAAUAAGAGAAUGAUAAAUUAAAUUUUUUCUCUUAAAAAAAUUCAAAUUCAAAUAAAAAUGUAAUAUAAAAUCAUAAUUUCAUAUAAUCACAGUUUCAUACAAUAUUUUCUCUUAGAAUAUAUAUUUAUAAUGUAUAUAUAUAUUCCAUUUUUCAAUUGUUUCUAACUUUGUUCUUUUAGUUUGUCACAGACAAAAAUUUUGACUUCGAUAUUAUUAAUAAAAAAUUAUUAUUGUCCUUGUAGCGGAAGAAUGUGUGUGACAACGUGAUAAGUAUUUUUCCAAACAAAAUCCAAAAGGAUUUAGGGAUCUUCAAAUUCGUCAGCCCAAACGUCACCUUUUUUCAGUGCCUCUCAUCACUUAUAAAAACACUUUGAUUUCCUUUCUUAGUUACUCCAAAUCCGACGUUCGUAAAAAAAGACCAGGUGAACUACCUACGUGCCGCCGUCACCACCAUGUCACAGCCUCAUUUCCUCCUAGUGACCUUCCCUGCACAAGGCCACAUAAACCCAACCUUACAAUUUGCCAAGCAUCUUAUACGUAUUGGCGUACGUGUAACUUUCAUCACCUGCAUCUCCGCUCACCGCCGCAUGACCAAAGUCCCCACUGCUCAAGGCCUAACGUUUUUACCGUUUUCCGAUGGCUACGACGACGGUUUUCAACCCGGUGAUGACAUAGAACAUUACCUAUCUGAAUUGAGGCGACGAGGCAAAGAAGCCAUCUCCGAGUUCAUAACAAGCAGUGAAAACGAAGGCAAACCCGUCACUUGCAUUGUCUACACCCUGUUCAUCCAUUGGGCCUCGGAGGUGGCGCGUAAACAUCACAUCCCGACAGCUUUACUUUGGAUUCAACCCGCCACCGUUUUCGACAUCUAUUAUUUUUACUUCAACGGAUACGAAUCCACCAUUAAAGCUCCAGUUGAUGAAACAAACCCAAAGCGUUCAAUAAAAUUACCAGGUCUGCCGCUACUCGCCACCCGCGACCUUCCGUCGUUCGUCACCGCUUCAAACGUUUACCGUUGGGCACUGUCGUUGUUCAAAGAACAAAUGGAUGUCCUCGCUGAUGAAUCCCACCCCAAAAUCCUUGUUAACACAUUCGAUGCUUUGGAACACGAAGCAUUAAACGCCAUUGAAAAUUUCAACAUGGUAGGCAUCGGACCUUUAAUCCCAUCUUCUUUCUUGAACUCAAAUGACUCCUUGGAUAAUUCCUUGAGAACCGAUCUUUUUCAAUCCGAUUCAAAAGAUUACAUCCAAUGGUUAGACUCCAAACCAAAAUCGGCCGUCGUUUACGUUUCCUUCGGGAGCUAUGCUGUGUUAACGAAGCGACAAGUGGAGGAAAUCGCUCGAGCUUUAAUAUCCAGCCGGCGACCCUUUUUAUGGGUGGUGAGGAACCGGACAAAUGGAGGCGAAGAAGAGAAAGAAGAAGAUAAACUGACUUGCAGGGAAGAAUUGGAACAGUUUGGGAUGGUGGUUCCAUGGUGUUCGCAAGUGGAAGUAUUGUUUCAUCCAUCGUUGGGUUGCUUCGUGACGCAUUGUGGGUGGAACUCGACAUUGGAGAGCAUGGCGGCCGGUGUACCGGUGGUGGCUUUCCCUCAAUGGACGGAUCAAAGGACUAAUGCGAAGCUGAUUGAAGAUGUGUGGGGGAAUGGGGUGAGAGUGAGUGCUAAUGAAGAAGGGAUGGUGGAACGUGAUGAGAUCGUUAGGUGCUUGGAUUUGGUGAUGGGGGAUGAUAAGAAAGGGAUGGAAGUGAAGAAAAAUGUAGAGAAAUGGAAAGGGUUAGCCAGUGAAGCCGCCAUGGAAGGCGGCUCCUUGGAUAUGAAGCUUAAAGCUUUUGUGGAUGAUAUUGCUGAAGGAUAUCGUAAGUAACAUUACCACUUUCAAAUCAAUUCACUGUUUCAAUAGUAGUUAUUUAAACAGUUAUUAUCGUACCAUGAAACUUGAUUAGGUUUUGCCUUGUAGUAAACAUGCGAAUGACGACCCACCACACAAGAUUAUGCAGAUAUGGUUUUUUUUUUUUUUUGUUUAAUUUUGCUACUAGUCUCUGUACUUUAUAUGAAAGUUAUGGAUUUAGUUUCAAUACUUUAAUUUGACCAUUUUUAGUCCUGUACUUUUUAAAAUGUUCAAUUUUAGUCCCUAUACUUUUAGUCUUUUGAAAUUUUAGUCUUGAACCAAAUAAUAGUAGUUAAAUUUUUUUGUUUAAAUUCAAUUACUAGUCAUGUCCUAUGUGUACAAUUAUAGAUUUAAUAAAUAUAUUUCCCAAUUGAAACAUUUUAAGUCCCUAUUUUUUUCGAAUUCUAAAAUUUCCGUCUCGACACAAAUGAUAGUCACUAAUCCAUUAACUAAAAUUUCAGUAAGUAAUAUGUGAAAAUAUCAAACUGAAAUGCCAUUACACAUAUGAUAAUAUGUUUGUUGCAUCAAAUUUUGAAAAUAACAGAAUUUAAUAAAUUUAACAAUUAUCGUUUAGUGAAGGCUGAAAUUUUAAAAUUUAAAAAGUAAGAGAAUUAAAAAUGACCAAAUUAAAGUAUAAGUAUUAAAUCUACAACUUUUGUAAAGUAAGAAUAAUAAUAAAAUUUAAACUUGUUUUUUUCUUGAAAGAAAUUGAAAGUAUAAUAUGUGAUAGGGAUGGGAGAAUAUGAAUGGUGUGAUAGAUUUUGAAUGUAGGAAACAAAGUAUCAUUUUAUCAGUUUAAUAUGUAUAACUAUUUAAAUAUGUAGAAAUGUGAAAAUGUAUUAUAGAAAAGCCUUUAUGUUUAAAUUUUUUUAAUUUUAUGUAUCUAAAAUUAUUAGUAAAUUUAUGUUUUGAUUACUCAACCUCAAAAAGUUACAAAAUGGUCAUGAGUUAUUAGAAAAUUUUCAUUUCAAUUGUUCAACUAUUCAAAAAUUUUUUUGUUUAAGUUAUUACGCUGUUAAGUUCUUUCUAAGUUCAAUUAAUGAGCUCCAACCGAUGAUUUAACAAUCGUAUGGUGGAUUAGUACUCAUCGACUAGUAGAGGAAAUCGCUUGAGAUUUAUUAUCCAGCCGGCAACCAUUUUCAUGGGUGGUGAGGAACUGGAAAGAUGGAGGCUACGAAGAGAGAGAAAAAGAUAAACUGACUUUCAGGGAAGAAUUGGAACAGUUAGGGAUGGUGGUUCCAUGGUGUUCGCAAGUGGAAGUAUUGUCUCAUCGUCGUUGUGUUGCUUCGUGACGCAAUGUGGGUGAAACUCGACGUUGGAGAGCAUGGUGGACAGUGUAUCAAGGGACUAAUGCGAAGCUGAUUGAAGAUGUGGGGGGAAUGGGGGUGAGAGUGAGUGCUAAUGAAGAAGGGAUCAUGGAACGUGAUGAGAUUGUUAGGUGCUUGGGUUUGGUGAUGGGGGAUGGGGAGAAAGGGAUGCAAGUGAAGAAGAAUGUUGAGAAAUGGAAAGGGUUAGCGGGGGAGGCCGCCAUGGAAGGUGGUUCCUUGGAUAUCAACCUUAAAGUUUUUGUGGAUGAUGUUGCUCAAGGUUGUUGCAAGUAAAUUUAUCUUUUCAUAUAAUUAUCUACAUUUAUAUCUUGAAUUCUUAAAUCAAGAAAUAAUAUGUUUAAAAACGAUCAAAUUCCUCUUGUUGUAAUAAUAAAAAUAUCAAAUGAUCUAAAAUUCGAUGGAAUGUUACAAAUAAAUUUCUAAUUUAUGUUUGUAUUAAAUUUACGCUUAAAUUAAUUUUGGCCUAUGGUGUAAGUUUUUUUAAAAAUAAUUUUAAUGGUCAAAUUUAAUUAAUAACACCAUCAAUUGGAUUUUAAAUUUUAAGUCAAACAAGAGACUAAAGUUUAAAAAUUAAAAGUAGCGGAUUAAAUUUUAAAAAAAAUUGCAAAAGAGUACAAGAAUUGGGGGUAUACUUAGAAAAAAUAUUAAAAUUUUCUUUUCUCCUCUAAUAGUAGAAUCUAAAGUUACGCACAUUUAUAAAAAUUAAAAAAGAGUUAAUUGUCCAAGAUAAAUAUUAAAUAAUAAUAUUUACAGACUCGAGUACAUGAAAUUUAUUGUUGGUCAUUGAAUUUAUCAUUUAACAAUUACUUUUGUUUUGGCUAUUGAGAAAAUUUUCUAGCCCUUAUAAUGUAUAUAUAUAUAUAUCUCCAUAUUAUUGGAUGUGUUACUUUUUAUUAAAUUAGAUUGCCUAAGGUUGCUUAUUGCGAUUAUGGUAAUUUGCUGCAUCAUCCCCUGACUAAUUCUUCUCAUUUCUAGUGUUAGCAUUCUUCUGCUUAAAAUCUGGGUCUCAUGUUGCUUUUUGAGCAUCACUAUACCAUUCUCCUCUUUAACCCGCCGAAAAAUCCAGUAGGAGCUUCUGCUUUCGAUUCUGGAGAAGUUGGCUCCCUCAAAAGUACCCUAUCGGCUUCAGGAGAUGCUGUCUCAUCAAAAGCCUUCUCCUCUUGCCCUAUUACGGAUUGGAUUGAGAGCACUAAAGCCAAUGAGAACACAACCAAAAAAAACUUUUGCAAUCCUUUUUAUUUUCUAAAAAGGUUAAGAAAUAAGUAAAGAUAUAUUUUUAUUGAUGCUUAAGGAUGAAGAUGAGACAAAAUUUAAAGAUAUUAAAAUGAGACAUUUUGGGCGAAUUUAGGGGUCGUUGACUAGUCCAGUGCCUAAUAGCCAUACACGACAAAAAUACAUAUAACUUCUCUCCACAUUUUCAAUGGUGAAGUUUAUCACUAUUAUUGGCGAGUUCAAUUUACUUCACUUUGUUUCACUUGAAGACAUUGUGGGUGAUCAUUAAUCUGUUUUAAAAUCAUUCUGACCUUCUCUGUUUGCAUCAUCUGCACCAAUAAAAAACACUCCUUCGCCUUUUAUAGGUCAAUUUUUUUCAUGAAGCAACUUUGAACGUUACUAAUUUGUGGACCAAAAUCUAAAUAGCUUUCUUCUUCUAUAAUGAAUAUUGACUGUUAAAAAUGAUGUUCUUCUACUUGUCUAUAGGUAUCGAUCAUAUAUAGUACUGAUUGCCAAAUCAUCACUUAGAGCUUGCUACCUAGACUUUUCAAAAAAAAAAAGUCAAAUGACUAGGCUCUUUCUUGACAUUUUUAAGACCCUAGGCGGAACAAUAAAUUGGGGCCCCUUUUAAAAAAAUUAAAAAAAUGUUAUGCAACAAAUAAAAAAAAUUGAGGCCAUUUUUUGAUCCGGUAAGAGCUUCUACUUUCGAUUCUGGAGAAGCUGCCACCUUUGAACUCAAAAGUACCCUGUCAGCUUCCAAAGAUGCUGCCUCAUCAAAAGCCUUCUCCUCUUGUCCUACUACAAAUUAGAUUGAGAGCACCAAAGCCAUUGAGAACACAACCAAAAAAACCUUCACAAUCUUUUUUAUUUUCUAAAAUGGUUAAGAAAAAAAAGUAAACAUAUAUUUUUAUUUAUGCUUAAGGUUGAAAAUGAGACGAAAUUUAAAGAGUUUAAAAUGAGAUAUUUUGGGCGAAUUUAGGGGUGGUUGACUAGUCUAGUGCCUAAUAACCAUACACGACAAAAAUACAUAUAACUGUUCUCCACAUUUUCAAUGGUCAUGUUUGUCACAAUUAUUGGUGGUUUAAAUUUACUUCUUUUUGUUUCACUUGAAUACGUUGCGGGUGAUCGUUUCAAUUUUUUUAUUUUAUAAUUUUCACAUAUUUUUUUCAUUUAUUUAAAAUUUCAACCAAACAAAUUUUCUGAAUUUUUUUUCUACUUUUAGAAAAACAAAAAGAAAAAGAAAUCUUUAAUUUUUGAAACUAAAUAUACCCUAAACCUUUGCCUCCGACUCAUAAGAUAUUAAGAAUAAGGUAAUUAUUUGGUACACACGAAAUGUAAGUUUUUUAUUCCACAUAUGAAGUUGGGAUUUUGCCUCUUAUCAUAUAUAUAUAUAUAUAUAUAAUUUUUUGAAUAUAAAUUAAAUAAUAAAUAAUAAAAUCUCAAUUAUAUUUAUGAAAUAAAAACCUUUCACUGUCACACCGAACAUUUCCCCUCGUGAUAUCACAGUAGUCUUUGUAAUCAUACUGACAAUCAUAAUGACAAAAGAAAGAAAAAGCUAUGCGAUAUGAUAUUCACUAGCUUGGAAGAAAUCGAAUUCAUAAAAAAUCCUACAAACUUAAUAGGUGUUUUUUUCAAGCAAGAAUAAUAAAUUUAGGGUCGAAAUUAAAUAGUAAUUUUUAUGAUAAUAAAAAUGUAAAUUUUAAAAGAUUAAAUCAAAAUUUUAUCAUUUUAGAAAAGUUAUCUUUUACUAAUUUAAAAUUUUAAAAAUUUCUAAAAGGUCUAAAAAUAAAUGAUAGUAAAAUAAUUCUAAAAUCUGUCAUAUGCGCCAACUUGAGUUCUUGCGUCAAAUAUUUCGUGCUAUCUACAUAUCCGCUCAUUUCUCGACACAUUGCAUAAUAAUUAUAACUACUUAGAACAUGAUUAAAUGCCAAAUUAGAUAAAAUUCAUGUCAAAAAAUAAUCAAAAUAAAUAAUAAAAAUAUAUCGAUUAGCUGCAUUAUCAAUGUGUAAACCUAAUUUAAUGUCAAACUUAAAAGUUAAAAAUUUUCUUAUAUAUAAUGGUCAAACUAAAUUAUUGUUAAAUAUUAUAAAUAUUGAUAAUUAAUAAUAGUGUCCACACAUGAUUUUAAUAUUAAUGGUCAUAAUGUGUCAAACAAUUAAAAUAUUGACUUGUAAGAUUGUUUCCUUAAAUAUUGUAUAUAUUCGAGUUUUGCUAUUGUUGGGAGAAAAAAGUGAAAGGGCCUCGGCUGUCAGUAGUGUUGUGUAACUAAACCUUAAAUGUGGCUAAUUGUCUUGCAAGCCCUCCUUAUUUAUUAUUUUCUUUUUAUUCCCCUUCAACUCACUACAUUGUGUUUAAACAAACCCUUAAUCUAUUUUUGUAGUUAAAUAAGCCCUUAAAUUGAUUUUUACUCAUAAAAUCCCUUUAUUUUAAUAUUAAAGUAAAUAUGUUUUACCUAUAUUAAAGGGCUUUUUAGUAUUUUAGCCCUGCUAGACUGUAUGUUGUUGAACCUGGCACCUACAUUGCAGAAAUUGUUUGAUUAUUUUCAAUGCAUAAGAACCAAUGAAAACAUAGAUGGAAGGCUAAUAUACUAAAAGGUGCUUAAUCUAUUACACUUUGUUUAAACAAGCUUUUAUACUGUUUUUGUAGUUAAAUAGGCCCUCAAACUAUGAUUUUUACCCAUGAAAGUCCUAAAUUUUAAUAUUAAAGUAAUACUAUUUAAAAAACAUAUAAAUUAAUUCGUAUUCUAUGUUGAUAUGAAUUUGAUGAGAAUAGUUUAUUAAAAAAAAUAAAAAUUUAAAAUUUGUUGAGAGUGCUUAUAUACAUGACAUGCUUAAUUACUAUUUUGAAAUUGCUAAUUACUUUUUUAGAUUUUAUGUUUAUGUUAAAGUGUAUAUAAUUUUUAUUGCAUCAACAAGAAAUUAAGAUAAGAGCUUGAAAUUCAAAAUAUAUUUACUUUAAUAUUAAAAUAAAGGGCUUUUAUGUGUAAAACCCAUAGGUUAAGAGCUUAGUUAACUACAAAAAAAAGUUAAGGGCUUGUUUAAACAUAAUAUAAUGAGUUGAAGGGGAAUAAAAAGAAAAUAAUAUAUAACGAUGGUUUACAAGGCAAUUAGCCACAUUUAAGCGGCACCCUUUCACUUCUUUUUCCAGUAGUCACUUAAAAUGGGAAUUUACACUUCAAAUCCCUAAAUACUUUAACUUAUUACAUCUCCAUUUGAUACCACUUGACACUAACAAAACAGUACAGUAAAAAACAUACCAUUUUGAUGUAUAUAUAUAUUCGGUUUUGUUAUUGUUUUUAACAUCGGCUUUUAAUUUAUCACAAAAUUUUCGGAUAAUUUUUUAAAAAAAUUAAUUAUAUUUUAAUUUAAAAUAUAGAAAUUAAUGAGUCCUUGCAAAGCAAGAAUGUGUGUGACAGCGUGAUGAAUUUUUUCCCACACAAAAUCCAAAAGGAAUUACGAAUCUUCAAAUUCGUCGGCCCAAACGUCACCCAUUUUCAUUGCUUAUCAUCACUUGUAAAAACACUUCGAUUUCCUUUCUUAGUUACUCCAAAUCCGACGUUCGUAAAAAAACACCAGGUGAACUACCUACGCGCCGCCGUCACCACCAUGUCACAGCUUCAUUUCCUCCUAGUGACCUUCCCUGCACAAGGCCACAUAAACCCAACCUUACAAUUUGCCAAGCAUCUUAUACGUAUUGGCGUACGUGUAACUUUCAUCACCUGCAUCUCCGCUCGCCGCCGCAUGAGCAAAGUCCCCACUGCUCAAGGCCUAACGUUUUUACCCUUUUCCGAUGGCUACGACGACGGUUUUCAACCCUGCGAUGACAUAGACCAUUACCUAUCUGAAUUGAGGCGACGAGGCAAAGAAGCCAUCUCCGAGUUUAUAACAAGCAGUGAAAACGAAGGCAAACCCGUCACUUGCAUUGUCUACACCCUGUUCAUCCAUUGGGCCUCGGAGGUGGCGCGUAAACAUCACAUCCCGACAGCUUUACUUUGGAUUCAACCCGCCACCGUUUUCGACAUCUAUUAUUUUUACUUCAACGGAUACGAAACGACCUUUAAAGCUCAAGCUGAUGAAACAAACCCCCAGCGUUCAAUAAAAUUACCAGGUCUGCCGCUACUCGCCACCCGCGACCUUCCGUCGUUCCUAACCGCUUUAAACGUUUACCGUUGGGCACUGUCGCUAAUCCAAGAAAAAAUGGACGUCCUCGCUGAUGAAUCCAACCCCAAAAUCCUUGUUAACACAUUCGAUGCUUUGGAACACGAAGCAUUAAACGCCAUUGAAAAUUUCAACAUGGUCGGCAUCGGACCUUUAAUCCCAUCUUCUUUCUUGAACUCAAAUGACUCCUUGGAUAAUUCCUUGAGAACCGAUCUUUUUCAAUCCGGUUCAAAAGAUUACCUCCAAUGGUUAGACUCGAAACCAAAAUCGGCCGUCGUUUACGUUUCCUUCGGGAGCAUUGCAGUGUUAACGAAGCAACAAGUGGAGGAAAUCGCUCGAGCUUUAAUAUCCAGCCGGCGACCGUUUUUAUGGGUGGUGAGGAACCGGAAAGAUGGAGGCUACGAAGAGAAAGAAGAAGAUAAACUGACUUGCAGGGAAGAAUUGGAACAGUUUGGGAUGGUGGUUCCAUGGUGUUCGCAAGUGGAAGUACUGUUUCAUCCAUCGUUGGGUUGCUUCGUGACGCAUUGUGGGUGGAACUCGAGGUUGGAGAGCAUGGUGGCCGGUGUACCAGUGGUGGCUUUCCCUCAAUGGUCGGAUCAAGGGACUACUGCGAAGCUGAUUGAAGAUGUGUGGGGGAAUGGGGUAAGAGUGAGUGCUAAUGAAGAAGGGAUCGUGGAACGUGAUGAGAUCGUUAGGUGCUUGGAUUUGGUGAUGGGGGAUGAUGAGAAAGGGAUGCAAGUGAAGAAGAAUGUUGUGAAAUGGAAAGGGUUAGCGGAGAGGCCGCCAUGGAAGGUGGUUCCUUGGAUAUCAACCUUAAAGUUUUUGUGGAUGAUGUUGCUCAAGGUUGUUGCAAGUAAAUUUAUCUUUUCAUAUAAUUAUCUCCAUUUAUAUUUCGAAUUCUUAAAUCAAGAAAUAAUAUUUUUAAAAACGAUCAAAUUCCUCUUAACUGUUGUAAUAAUAAUAAUAAUAAUAAUAAUAUCAAAUUAAUGAUCUAAAAUUCGAUGGAAUGUUACAAAUAAAUUUUUAAUUUAUGUUUGUAUUAAAUUUAUGCUUAAAUUAAUUUUGGCCUAUGGUGUAAGUUUUUUUUUUAAAAUUUUAAUGGCCAAAUUUAAUUAAUAACAUCAACAAUUGAAUUUUAAAUUUUAAGUCAAACUAAGAGACUAAAAUUUAAAAAUUAAAAGUAGCAGAUUAAAUUUUUAAAAAAAUUGCAAAAGAGUACAAGAAUUGGGGGUAUACUUAAAAAAAUAUUAAAAUUUUCUUUUCUCCUCCAAUAAUAGAAUCUAAAGUUACGCACCUUUAUAAAAAUUAAAAAAGAGUUAAUUGUCCAAGAUAAAUAUUAAAUAAUAAUAUUUAUGGACUCGAGUACAUGAAAUUUAUUGUUGGUCACUUAAUUUAUCAUUUAACAAUUACUUUUGUUUUGGCUAUUGAGAAAAUUUUCUAGCCCUUAUAAUGUGUAUAUAUAUAUCUCCAUAUUAUUGGAUGUGUUUCUUUUUAUUAAAUUACAUUGCCUAAGGUUGCUUAUUGCCAUUAUGGUAAUUUGUUGCAUCAUCCCCUGACUAAUUCUUCUCAUUUUUAGUGUUAGUAUUCUCCAACUUAAAAUCUGGGUCUCAUGUUGCUUUUUGAGCAUCAUUAUACCACUCUCCUCUUCAACCCGCCGAAAAAUUCAGUAGGAGCUUCUGCUUUCGAUUCUGGAGAAGCUGCCACCCUUGAAGUCAAAAGUACCCUGUCAGCUUCCAAAGAUGCUGCCUCCUCUUGUCCUACUACAAAUUGGAUUGAGAGCACCAAAGCCAAUGAGAACACAACAAAAAAAACCUUCACAAUCUUUUUUUAUUUUCUAAAAUGGUUAAGAAAAAAAAAGUAAACAUAUAUUUUUAUUUAUGCUUAAGGUUGAAAAUGAGAUGAAAUUUAAAGAGUUUAAAAUGACAUAUUUUGGGUGAAUUUAGGGGUGGUUGACUAGUCUAGUGCCUAAUAACCAUACACGACAAAAAUACAUAUAAUUUCUCUCCACAUUUUUAAUGGUCAUGUUUGUCACAAUUUUUGGUGGUUUAAAUUUACUUCUUUUUGUUUCACUUGAAUACGUUGUGGGUGAUCGUUUAAAUUUUUUUAUUUUAUAAUUUUCACAUAUUUUUUUCAUUUAUUUAAAAUUUCAACCAAACAAAUUUUCUCAAUUUUUUUUCUACUUUUAGGAAAACAAAAAGAAAAAGAAAUCUUUAAUUUCUGAAACUAAAUAUACCCUAAACCUUUGCCUCCGACUCAUAAGAUAUCAAGAAUAAGAUAAUUAUUUGAUACACAUGAAAUGAAAUUUUUUAUUAAGUUGGGAUUUUGCCUCUUAUCAUAUAUAUAUAUAUAUAUAUAUAUAUAUAUAAUUUUUUGAAUAUAAAUUAAAAAACAAAUAUUAAAAUCCCAACUCGAUUUAUGAAAUAAAAACCUUUCACCGUCAUACCGAACAUUUCCCCUCGUUGUAUCACAAUAAUCUUUGUAAUCAUAAUGACAAAAGAAAGAAAAAGCUGUGGGGUAUGAUAUUCACUACCCUCCAAUUAUGAGACUCAUAACAGAGGGGAAUUAAGAAAAAAAAAUUUUAGAGUCGAAAUUAAAUAGUAAUUUUUACGGUAGUAAAAAUGUAAAUUUUAAAGGAUUAAAUCAAAAUUUUAUUGUUUAAAAAAAAGCUAAAGUGCAACUUUCCUUUUACUAAUUUAAAAUUUUAAAAAUUUCUAAAAAUUCUAAAAAAUAAAUGAUAAUAGAAUAAUUUUAAAAUCUUUGUCAUAUACGCCAACUUGAGUUUUUGCGUCAAAUAUUUCGUGCUAUCUGCAUAUCCGCUCAUUUCUUGACACAUUGCAUAAUAAUUAUAACUACGCCGUCACCACAAAAUCUUUUAUAUUCGGUUCUACAAUUGCUUUUAACUUCGGUCACAAACAAAAUUUUUUUUCUUAGUUAUUAAUAAUAAAAGUGGAUUAUUUUAUUACAAAAUUAAUUUAUGUUAUAUUUUCGUUGUAUAAUAAUUAUAUCUACAUAAAAAAUAAUCGAUUAAAUUUCAGAUUAGGUAAAAUUUAUUUCCAAAAUUACUUAACAUAAUUCAUAAAAAUACUUCACAUUAUCAAUGCGUCAACUUAGUUAAAUGUCAAACUUAAAAAAAUGUAUAAUGUGAACAUGGCUAAAAAUUUUCUUUUUUAGAUAAAACCUUAAAAUAAUAUUUUAUGGAUUUUUACUUAUAUAAUAUAAAAAAUUGAAAUUAAUAACUGAAAUGGCAUGCCCAUGAGAUUAUUUACCAAAAUGGUAUGUUUACUAUGGUGUUUUACUGGUGCCGCUUGUCAAAUUAGCGGUACCAGAUUGAAAUGUAAUGAUCUAAAGUAUUUAGGGACCUGAUAUGCAAAUUUUUCAUUUUGAGUGGUUGUUGGAGAAAAAAGUGAAAUGGUGUCGGCUGUAGUAGUGUUGUGUAACUAAACCUUAAAUGUGGCUAAUUUCCUUGCAAGCCCUCUUUAUUUAUUAUUUUCUUUUUAUUCCCCUUCCACUCAUUACAUUGUGUUUAAACAAACCCUUAACCUAUUUUUGUAGUUAAAUAAGCCCUUAACUUGAUUUUAACUCAUAAAAUCUCUUUAUUUUAAUAUUAAAGUAAAUAUGUUUUACCCAUAUUAAAGGGCUUUUUAGUAUUUUAACCCUGCUAGACUAUAUGUUGUUGAACCUGACACCUACAUUGCAGAAAUUGUUUGAUUAUUUUCAAUGCAUAAGAACCAAUGAAAACAUAGAUGGAAGGCUAAUAUACUAAAAAAUGCUUAAACUAAUACACUUUGUUUAAACAAGCUUUUAUACUGUUUUUGUAGUUAAAUAGGCCCUCAAACUAUGAUUUUUACUCAUGAAAAUCCUAAAUUUUAAUAUUAAAGUAAAACUAUUUAAAAAAUAUAUAAACUAAUUCGCAUUUUAUGUUGAUAUGAAUUUGAUGAGAAUAGUUUAUUAAAUAAAAAAAUAAAAAUUUAAAAUUUGUUGAGAGUGCUUAUAUACAUGAUAUGCUUAGUUAUUAUUCUGAAAUUUCUGAUUACUUUUUUAGAUUUUAUGUUUAUGUUAAAUUGUAUAUAAUUUUUAUUGCAUCAACAAGAAAUUAAGAUAAGAGCUUGAAAUUCAAAAUAUAUUUACUUUAAUAUUAAAAUAAAGGGCUUUUAUGAGUAAAACCCAUAGGUUAAGAGCUUAUUUAACUACAAAAAUAAGUUAAGAGCUUGUUUAAACACAAUAUAAUGAGUUGAAGAGGAAUAAAAAGAAAAUAAUAUAUAACGAUGGUUUACAAGGCAAUUAGCCACAUUUAAGCGGCACCCUUUCACUUCUUUUUCCGGUAGUCACUUAAAAUGGGAAUUUGCACUUCAAAUCUCUAAAUACUUUAAAUUAUUAUAUUUCAGUCUGAUAUCACCUGACACCAACAAAACAGUACAAUAACAGACAUACCAUUUUGAUGUAUAUAUAUUCGGUUUUGCUAUUGUUUUUAACUUCGGCUUUUAAUUUGUCACAAAAUUUUUGGAUAAAUUUUUAAAAAAAUUAAUUAUAUUUUAAUUUAACAUAUAGAAAUUAAUGAGUCCCUACCACAAGAAUGUGUGUGAUGACUGUUUUUCCACGAAUUUGGAAUCUUCAAAUUCGUCAGCCCAAACGUCUCCCUUAAAGUGCUUCUCAUCAUUUAUAAAAACACUUCGAUUUCGUUUCUUAGUUACUCCAAAUCCGACGUUCGUAAAAAAAGACCAGGUGAACUACCUACGCGCCGCCGUCACCACCAUGUCACAGCCUCAUUUCCUCCUAGUGACCUUCCCUGCACAAGGCCACAUAAACCCAACCUUACAAUUUGCCAAGCAUCUUAUACGUAUUGGCGUACGUGUAACUUUCAUCACCUGCAUCUCCGCUCACCGCCGCAUGAGCAAAGUCCCCACUGCUCAAGGCCUAACGUUUUUACCCUUUUCCGAUGGCUACGACGACGAGUGUCAACCCGGCGAUGACAUAGACCAUUACCUAUCUGAAUUGAGGCGACGAGGCAAAGAAGCCGUCUCCGAGUUUAUAACAAGCAGUGAAAACGAAGGCAAACCCGUCACUUGCAUUGUCUACACCCUGUUCAUCCAUUGGGCCUCGGAGGUGGCGCGUAAACAUCACAUCCCGACAGCUUUACUUUGGAUUCAACCCGCCACCGUUUUCGACAUCUAUUAUUUUUACUUCAACGGACACGAAUCCACCUUUAAAGCUCAAGCUGAUGAAAAAAACCCCAAGCGUUCAAUAAAAUUACCAGGUCUGCCGCUACUCGCCACCCGCGACCUUCCGUCGUUCCUAACCGCUUUAAACGUUUACCGUUGGGCACUGUCGUUGAUCCAAGAACAAAUGGACGUCGUCGCUGAUGAAUCCAACCCCAAAAUCCUUGUUAACACCUUCGAUGCUUUGGAACACGAAGCAUUAAACGCCAUUGAAAAUUUCAUCAUGGUCGGCAUCGGACCUUUAAUCCCAUCUUCUUUCUUGAACUCAAAUGACUCCUUGGAUAAUUCCUUGAGAACCGAUCUUUUUCAAUCCGAUUCAAAAGAUUACCUCCAAUGGUUAGACUCGAAACCAAAAUCGGCCGUCGUUUACGUUUCCUUCGGGAGCAUUGCGGUGUUAACGGAGCAACAAGUGGAGGAAAUCGCUCGAGCUUUAAUAUCCAGCCGGCGACCCUUUUUAUGGGUGGUGAGGAACCGGAAAGAUGGAGGCGAAGAAGAGAAAGAAGAAGAUAAACUGACUUGCAGGGAAGAAUUGGAACAGUUUGGGAUGGUGGUUCCGUGGUGUUCACAAGUGGAAGUAUUGUUUCAUCCAUCGUUGGGUUGCUUCGUGACGCAUUGUG
rnacentral:lncRNA from 1 species